GCGCUAAAACUUUACAAUGCUGGCAACAGCGAUAAGGGAACCUCGAGUGCCAGGUUACAAAUCUGGCUGUCGAGAUGCCUAAAAAGCAUUUCAUAGCAAGGGCCGGGCAAGACCGGUGCCAGCCGCCGCGGUAACACCGGCGGCUCGAGUGGUAACCGUUAUUAUUGGGUCUAAAGGGUCUGUAGCCGGCCGGAUAAGUCUCUUGAGAAAUCUGGCAGCUUAACUGUCAGGCUUUCAGGGGAUACUGUCUGGCUCGAGGCCGGGAGAGGUGAGAGGUACUUCAGGGGUAGGGGUGAAAUCUUGUAAUCCUUGAAGGACCACCAGUGGCGAAGGCGUCUCACCAGAACGGACCUGACGGCAAGGGGCGAAAGCUAGGGGCACGAACC
rnacentral:rRNA from 1 species